rnacentral:misc_RNA from 1 species
CCCUAGCCCUGAUUGAAGCAUUUGUCUGAGCUCAUUUUAUUUUUCUGGCUGCGGCGGCUUUGCCGCCGCAGCCAGAAAAAUAAAAUAGCGAGUGCGGAAAGCAGGAUAAAGC